UGUGCGGCUUCGGUCGUGUGGCAUCUCAAUUGGACCUGAUAUCAGGCAAGAUUACCCGCUGAACUUAAGCAUAUCAAUAA
rnacentral:rRNA from 1 species